ensembl:lncRNA
CAGAGUUUACUUUAUUGUCUGAAGAGGAAAAUCCUGUCUGGAAACCAUUUCUUCCUAGCACUGCCUGCACUGCACGCUCUCCCCUUCAAAACACAUCUUGAGAAAAAUUUGACAAAGAGUUCUUCUUACACAAGUUACAUGGAUGUUGCUGUGCUACAAGAAAAAUACUUAUUUGGAGACAGACUGCAUCCAUUGUCUGUUGUGACUCAGUAAAGAUUGUAUCCGGCAUUCAAAAGAGACCCUGAGCAGGCAGAGACUAAUUAAGAAGAAAGGGAAGGAUUAUAGUUACGUGUAAAUGAUACCCCAAAAAGGAAAUGGUAUCAAUAAUGUAGUAGUAAAAUACUUGAAAGGAAAUGGAUUUUUGAUGAAGUCAGUUUUUCAAAGUCUUUCUCUAGAAAAGAGAAUAAUGCUUUUAAAUUGCUAUUCAUGCUGACCGCUACUACUUGUUAACAUUUUGCCCUUGGGAGAAAAUACAGCUUAGUAGUACAAGGGCUCUAUAAUAAGCAUCUUUAUCUCCUUGGGAUUCUCAGGCCCUUUGUUAUUUUUUUCCUCUGGAGUCGUACUGUAAACUGCAUACCACUUGGGCUGAUUCACACAGGCCUUGGGAGGAGGAUGCGGAAGAGUAGGCUGCUUUCUCAUGAGAAGUUCAACGUGGUAAAAUUCCUCUUCCAUUUCAGCAGCUCCUAAAGCCAUUUUGCACCCAGCUUGACCUGACAGAUGCAACUCUUCUGCUCUCUCUCCUUAAUUUGUUUGCAUUUGGCUCAGGUUCACAGGCUUUUGGAGUGCAUGACUGCUUUCCUAGUGGAUCUGUAAAAAAAGUCUGUGCCUGCUUAAAUAACAGUAUGAGAAUGAUAGAGUGGAUGCUCCUUGGAAGCAGCAGAAAGGGACAGACAAGCUGACAGCCAGCAUUCCUGUCCUGCCAGCUUGAAGGAUGUUGCCCACAGCCACUUACCAUAUGUUUGGCUCCAAACUGUGGAGCAGGCAAGUCAGAACGAUGCACAGAAUUCAGAUGAUUUGCUUUCUGUCUCUCAAGAGAGACAGGGAGCUCUGAAGCUUGCAGGCAUCACCUGCAUUCCUUAGCUUUCCUUCCAAAAGUCACACAUCAGAGGAGUAGGAACAGGAGGUUUCAUCUUAAGUGCUCUCAAAAGUAUCUGGUGGACAAAUGCCACAAGAGUCUCUAUUCUAAGCUGCCUUCAGGUAUAUUACCACUCUUUGAAUUUGCUACCAGGAUGAGAGGUAAUGGUUUCAAGUUGCACCAGGUUCAGGUUGGAUAUUAAAAAAAAAAAUUAUUCUCUGAGUGUUCAAGUAUUAGAACAGGCUGCCCAGGGAAGUGGUGGAGUCACUGUUCCUGGAGGUGCUCAAGAAAUGUGCAGAUGUGGCACUGCGAGAUGUGGUUAGUGGGGAUGGAAGUGAUGGGCUGAUGGUUGGACUAGACGAUCUUAAGAUUUUCCAACCUUAAGGAUUCUAUGAUUCUGUGAACCUGUUCAUCUCAAGCAAAGUAAAAGGAAUACGCUUCAUAACUGCAUACAUACAUGUAUAUUUACUGAACAUUAUGGAGUACAGUUCAGAAAUCUGUGACUUGUGCUAGAUAUGGUAAAAAUCUACAGUACAGCAAAGUGACCAUUGGGAAAACCACUGGGAUCAGAAAGCACCACAACUUUCUUUAGCAAAAGCUAACUGAUUCUCACUGUUUCUCAUUUGUGUAAAAGAGAUAGGGGAUGGUGUCUUCAUUUCUUCACUGUCCUUCCAUGUUGGAGGUGGUCUGAGGAAUCUUCAGCAACAGCACAGAAUCCUGAACUAUACCAAAUAAAGAUUGUACCCAGCGAACAACUUUAUGCCUUUGCCACAAGAGCCAAUGUAGUAUAUAAAUCUACAAAUAGACCAAUCAACAUUUUUUAUGAUGCUCAUUAAGAACUUUCCUUUGGCCUCUACAUCAGUUUGUGCACGACUUCAUCUUCCACUUUGCGUGUACGCAGGUCUAAAUGCCAGGGCAAAAAAAAAAAAAAAAAGAAAGUAUAUAAUGCCGAGAAUAAUUGAGAACACCAGAGAUGGAUAAGAAAAGAAGAAAUCAGGGGUCAUUCUACACAUCUUAUUCCAGCACAGACAUAGGUUUCUGCACAUGGGGAAGGUGAAGGGAAAUGGAGGCUAGCUAGGAUCUGUAGAGAGCCUGAGCUUUGGCUCAGUACACUCACUGUCAGUACACUCACUGAGCCACUGACAUACUAACCAAAGAUGCUCAGAGCAAGGUCAAGCCAUGCUCCCAGAGAACAGCGCUCACCUAAACUAGAUGCACAUGAGAAAUGUCAAUUCUAAGCCAAUCUACACAAACAAGUGAUCUGCUAUUUCUGGCAAACUAGUUCCAUGUACCAGUACUAUCACUACUCUGACGUGCUGAUAGUAUGUGCUUUUCUAAAGCACUUCUGCAGCACUGUUGAUUGCUACAAACAUGCAUAUAUUUUGGUUACUUACAUGUGACCUUAGAGAGUUCGUUAGUGGAAGAAGUUGAGGUUUGAAGAGAGAUAUGCCUGAAGCAGACUGUCAUUGGAUGAAUGCUCCGUUUCAUAGGUCAGGGAGCAAAACAAGAUGAAAUUAGCUAAAGGGAACCUAGAAAGGAGAAGAUAUAACACUGGAGUUGUGUUCUUUAUGACUUUGUUAUGGCAUAUGAGAACUACAUGAAAUGCUUUUUUUCUGUUUUUGAAGGGAUGCUUUUCCUGUUUAACUUCUCAUGAUACAAAUCUAUUUAUAGACGUGGGUGACAAUAACGUUUAUACAUAUAUACAACCACCUAAUUAAUUGCAAGCAAUUUAUAUAGUCUAACAAGCACCUGGACCUCUGACUUGACAGCUUGCUAUUUUUAUUUUAUUUUUAACAAUUAGAUGUAAAAUUUUACUUCAAAAGCUGCAAUAACAUGCUGUCUACACAGAAUUAUUAAGGUUAUACAAAGUUACUAGUUUACAAAAUUUCUUCGUCGACAGAGUAGAGGCUUUUAACAAUUAAGUGGCUGUGAUUGUUCAAAGGGGAUUUCUUAGGGAAUGUAAAAUAUCCAAUUUUGUUUUUCUUAUGUCUAAAAUUUCACUCUACACACUUUCUCCUGAAUGGUUAUUAGGCUUUCUUCUGGGCAUCACAUUCAGUGGGACAUAGGUAUGAUAUUGUGCUGUGACAAAAUGCUAUGUACUGGAGAGUUGUUUAGACCCCAAUAGAUUGUUAUUUCUAACCACUAUUUCAUUUUGCUUCAGAAAAAUGAUAAACAGGCUGAGAAACAUCAAGGAGAAACAAGAAAGAUGAUCAAGAAAUGAAAAGGGAGAUGAACAAACUUGUUCAUAAUCGGCGUAGCCAUCAUCCACACUUAUGACUUUGAGCAACAAAUAAAACUAAGAUCUAGCUUUUGUAAGCAGUGCAAAAUUUGCAAUCCCUUUCAAAUCAGAGAAAUAGUAUGUUAAUACUAAGGGAAAGACCAAGAGUCCAAGUAUUCCCAAAGUAAAAAUCAAAUAUUCUGGAGCCAUGUGAAUAAAUAAAAAGAAAAAGAAAAAAGAAAAAGAAAAAAAGAAAACAGCAGCAAAAGUCAUCUUAAAAAUAGGACAAAGACCUUUGACAAGCAACUGUUAAUAUAUGGAAAAGAAAUAAAUCUUGAACAUACCACAUUCUGUGAUCUAGAAGACUAAAAUAACAUUUGGAGAGUCAUGAAUCAAUGUGAAACAUUUCAAAAUUGUUGGCUUUCCCCCAAACAUAUCCCAAACGACAUAUUGUGGGAAUAUUCUUUGCACAAAAUAUUCUAGCUGUCAUACAGUUGGUAGCUUCCCAUGAAGCUGUAGUUCAAAUAUUACUGUAAAUACAGUAUGUUUAACAAAUUUAUUUUAAAAAAAUCUCCUUCAAGAAUACAAAGACAACAUUCUGUAAGAAUACUCAAAAGCAGCUGACCCUGCUUUUUUGAGGUUUAGAAGACCAGAUGUACAUGUGUACAACAGCACCUCAAACUUGAAUAUACAUCUGCCAAAACCAGCAUCAUCCUCACUGAAGCAGAUUCUAGUGCUUUUUUUGGGGGGGUAAAUACUUUUUAAAGCAAAGACGCAUUAACCAGCAAACUUUACUAACAUCAGAUGCUUUCUUUUAUGUAACAUGAAAUGCACUGAUUGUCUUUGAAAUCUCUCCUAUUUUCCUUCAAUGCACAGAUCCUCUAUCUACCCUCUCAUCCCUAUUUUUAAGCCUGUUUUUAAUUAUUUCUCUCUAAUCUUCCCCCCACAUACACAAACCACCCAUAUGCAGCAUGCAAAUCCACUAUGGUAAGCAUAUGUGAGGAAUUUGCCAGUGUUGAAUUUGCUGAAUCUUUAAAAGCAAUCAAAAUGAGCAAGUCUGGAGGCCUGAUGUCAGAAAAAGUAGUUGUACAAGUACACGCUAUUCACAAAAAUAAUUUCAAAUGUUGCAGAAUAGGUUCCCAGUCCAUUGAGGCAAAACAUAUGUUACUUCUGCUGCUGUCCAUCAUUUCAUGAAAGAGGCUGCCACUUUGGCUUAUGCUCAGUAAUACCUUACUCCCCAGGUAGUCCUAUUGAAAACUGUGAGACAACACAGCAAAUAGUCUUCUCAGUAUUAACAGCAGCAGCAAGCCUGUCCCAUUGUCAAUCAUCUAUAAUCUCUGCUUUUAUUUAAAACAGUAUGAAGAGCCGAUAUGUAUAGUGACUGUUUCCAGCCCUGGUGCAGUAGCCCAUUGGGCUGUAAAGGGAUUUAGUGCUACAAGUGCUGCAACAAAUCUUGUAACUGCCCAAUUACCACUUGAUGGCCACCACUCUCUGGCACCCUAGGGGCCACGUCAUUGAAGAUAAGCUCUGUUUAUGUUAACUUGGUGUCAGGAUGUACAGCAUAUGUCUAUGAAGCUGGAUGAGUGCCCUUUAGCAGGAUGUUCUGUACAUUCACAUUGUGCAGCCAAGAGCCCCGAAGGUGUUGAAAAAGAAGAAAAGGCCUUUCAUAGAAAGCUUAAUCCAAUUAAAGCAUAUUAAUGAAGGUUAGGAUCAUCUGUCACAUUAUCUAGACACAUCCUUUCAUGCAUCAUCAUCUGAUUACAAAGUCUGAUUUUCUUUUAAGGCUUUUCAUCUUCACCAAGAAAAUGUGAUGGGAAAUUCAACACUUAAAAUACAGAAGGCUUAGAUGGGAUUUCUAUUUCUUUCUUAUUUUUUUUCCUCUCCCUCUCCCUGAGAGAAAUAUGAUGCUUAUUUUAAAACAGUAGUAUGUCUCAACCACUGGUACAAACUGGCAUGUAUCUAGCACAGCCUAGAGAGCUACCCUAAGUAACACCUCUCAGAUUUUUGUUUGAGGGAAUCCAAAAUCUUAACACAGAAAAGUAAACGAAGGAGAGAGAGAGAGAGAGAGAGAGAGAGAGAGAGAGAGAGAGAGAGAGAGAGAAGGACUGAAACAUGAUACACUGCAAAUGAAUAAAGGAUUUGGGGCUCUGUUGCUGCAAGAGUUGUAUCAGGCUAGAUUUCUCUGAUAGCAAUGAGUGCACCUUCCCAUCAUCACCAUGUUAAACAAUUUGAACAGCUAUAAGGGAAAGGUCUGCCUCCUUGAUCAGAAAAGAGGGAAAAGGCAUAUUGGAUACAACACUCUUCGUGAUGCUACAGCAAGGCAGAGACAAGAAGAUGAGAGAUUGCACAGCAACUGAGAAAUUUCUCUGUUCAGGAGCACCUGUGGACACAGUGAAAUGGCACUACCUUGCACCAUGCUCCUCAGAGCAGUUGAAGACUACAAAUCCCUGUGCUAAAAAGACUAACUCUAGUACGAGCAGGGGCCCAGUUUCCAAAACUUGUGCAACAUGUAAAUCCAUUAAAGAUCAUCAUGAUGAGGAUCCCAUUAAAGAGAAAAAAAUUAAAAAAAAUAAAACAGGAAAUUCAAUAAUAACACAAUAAUGCCUUCAAAAUAAGUGUCAGUCUCAGCAUCACCCCAUGAUGCAACUAUAACGAUUUCUGCCUCUUAGCCCUUCAGAUGGUCACAGCUCAUGCUCUGCAGAGAACUCUGGUCUCGUAACACAGCUGGUAUGAACAUAUUUUUGCACCCCCUACCCAUGUAAGUGCAAAUGCCAGUUCCUCAUGUCAUCUGGCAGUGAAUCCACUUAGGUUAACCUUGCAUGUAAGUCCUAUUACCUAAGGAAUCACCCUCAGGAGGUGUUCUGCAUCCUUGCACUCCCUUUCCAUACACUACAGAGAGAAAAUAGAGAGUAUUACAACGAUCCCAUCCCUCUCCCUCGACCUUCAGCUGGCCUUUGUGUCUUUUUGGAUUUGGAGCUGCUGCUUCAGGCUGCAUGGAGGCUCAGGCAGGCAAGAUAAUACGUAUAUUUUUUGCUUUUCCUUGCAACAGGGAUAGUGUUUGUUUUGGGUUUUUUUUUAUGUUUGUUUUUGUUGUUAUAGUUUUUUUGCUUAGUUUCUGAAGAAAUCACGAAAUGCCACAUGAGUAUUGUGCCCACUGUUGGCUUAGUCCAAUUGCUGUUGUCACUCUCUAAGCACAUAUGCUGAAAUUUGUGCAAUCUGUCCUCUGAUAUUUACAGUACUGAGUCCGAAACAAAAAGGCAAGCAGCCAGACCUGCUGGGCCUCUGACAGAAUUACUGAAAGGCUAGAAGGAUUAAUGAAAUAGGUAGGGGAGAAUUUGCUCAUUAGCAUUCAAGGAACAUCUAGAGCCUAGAAGGAAUGUUAGGUUUUUACCAGAUAUCUUCUCUGGGGUUUAUUAAGCUAGCUGUAUACUUCAAGCAAAGAAAGCAAUGAAGUGUGCAAUUUCUCAGCUACAUUUAACGUAUUAUUGAGGAGCAUGCCCUGCUGAGGACUACAUACUUUUGUGAAAAUUCAACAUGAAAUUUGAGAGAACAGGCCUCAUCUUACAUUAAUUUGAUAUCUCACAAGCCUUGAAAUUCACGUUAUUUAAAACAAAAGCCAAAACCAACUUAUCUCAGCCUUGCUCCCUGAAGCAUGGUGAAGGGACCUGCCUCCAAUUUUCAAAGUUAAAACAUGAGAGUACUUUCGGGUAGGAAGAUAUUUACUAGACUGGUUGAUGAAAAGCUAAAAUGUAAGAAGAGAUAUGAAGCAAAUUGUGUUGUUUCUACCUUCUUCCUACUUCUCAUAUGUCAAGCUAGAGAGAAUACUGCUGCUGUACCAUGAGACCAUUGUGCACACAGAUGCCAUCUCAAUUAAACCACCACCCACUAAUCUACUGUGGACAAACAUUUGCCUGUAAGCAGAUGAAACUCCUACAGCUGAUUAAGCAACUGGAUCACCCUAUAAAGCUUAAUCCACUUUUCCAAAGCACUGCCUUCCUUUUUCAUGUUUCAUGUCCAGCCUGAGGUCAAAAUCACUAUCAACUUGCCCCCCAGAGCACUUGGGCGCAAGGUACAAAUACUUAGCAUGUCAAGGUCAGCCUAAUUUAACAUUCAAUAUACAGUACACUGAUAGACAUCAAGGAAUCUAUGGGCAACUUGUUAUAUACAUUUUCUCUAUAGUUGAGAUCAGUGACAAUUGAGCAACAACAAAAUUAUUUCACUAUUGGCAGUUAGUUAUUCUGCAGGGAUGCACACAUGCUCUGUUAAGGCCUUCAGUGAUAAGUCAAUGUCUUGAUGCACAACCUUACAUUAGCAUUCAUUUAGAAAAUAUAGAUUUAGUACAAGUGUGCCCCACUCAACUUGUGGAUUCAGAAAGCCUUAAACUUUGGAAAAGUUUGCAUCCUAUUAUAAUCCCUUUCUAGUGUUAUCCUGUUUCCACUUAUCACUAGUCACAUUAAUCACUGCACAAACUUAAUUGUUAAAUUGUCAUUUUAUGAAAGAAAAAGACUGCCCUUGUGACAGGCUUACAUUUUCAUGUACCCUGUUUUAUACCAGUAGUAGCAGACUUGACAAAGAGUAUGUGACCUGAUUUCCCAGAUGUCUGUAAAUGUACUUGGCAUUGAAUUUUAAAUCUGACUGAAUUCAAAGCUCUUCAUAUAAAACACAACUCAAGUUAACUUUUAUCUCUUUUCUUCUUUCUGUCUCUCAGCAGCUGUUCUUCUUUUAUUAUUUCAUGUGCUAUAUUCAAUAUGCAAAGUUUCCUUGUUUGUUAGAGUGCAUUACACUUUCUAAUGCAUCUGUCAUGUUGGAAAACAGGAAAGUAGCAUAAAGCCUCUCUUGUGAUUUCUUUUUUUUCUUUCUUUUUUCUUUUUUUUUUCUUUUUUUUUUUUUUUCAGUUAAUGGAAGGCUUAGCUAGAAGAGAAGGAAAAAAAAAAAACAAUGAAAGGAAAUUUGCCUCUAAGCAUCUACAGAGCUUAGAAAAGGGUUCUUCAGCUUUAUGAAACUUUAAAAAAGUAAAAUACCAGAGAAUUUAAUGCUUAUAAAUGACAAAACAUGAAUGGCUCUGGGAAUUCUCCUUAAAAGGAUGAUUUUGAAGCUAAGGCACAAGAUAGACAGCAGACCUGGAUUCUGUUCUACAUAUACCAGUGGUUUUAUUGGUUAACCUCUCAGGCUAUGCCAGUCCUGGGGAUAUUUAGAGAAACAAUCCACAUCAGCAUCUGAUCCAACACGGGAUCCUACAGAAGAGGUGUUUUAUAUAAAACAGCUCGACUUGCUUUCACUCUUUAGUUAAUUCUGCAAAAACUGAGCCAAAUCAAAUUCAUACAUAGCCCAGUCCUGCCUCAGAAGUCUUUUCCAACCUAAAGCUUCCUAGAAUAUAAAUCUUUUGAGCAGACAGAUGAGCACUGUUGGACCUAGGCAAUUCUUCCCCGUAGUCAGAAUUACUGGGUUCUGGGGGAAGUCCAGCCCAGGUGCCAUGAGAUUGCAAGUAGGCUAAUUCACCCCCCCUGAGCCCCAGCAGCAAAAGUUCCCUGACAGAUUUCUGUACUGACUCUGCACCACAUCUUAUAGUAUUCAGCAUCUCCACAGUACAUCGCACAGCACUGAGCAGCUUUCACAAAUAUCUACACUACAAGGCAUUCUCAGUGGUAAACAAAAUCAAACAACAUCAUCAACAGGAAUUUAGAUUAGCAUUAGGUAUAUCACUGGUUGUUGGAGCACACAUGAACUAUAUUCACACAUGAAUAGUUUACAUAUGUGUGUGUGUAUAUAUAUGGACUGCUAUGAACACAUAUUAAUUUUUUUGUACAUUUUUUAAAAACUUGCCUCAGUGUAAGUCAACUGCAAAAUGUUUUUUCUUCCUUUACAGUAAUAUUCACAGAGCUACACGUACUCAUUUCUACAAAUUACUGUUGCUUAUUUGGUAAGAGAAAAAUAACAACAGAAGGUAUCAUUAUUUUAAGCCAGAGAGCAUGUAACGCCAACUCACUCAAAAAUAUCCACUGUCACUGGAAGUAAACCAGAACACGCUAAACCUCAGUUCCAAGAGCACAUCUGCAACCAAAGCACAACACAAUUCCACAAGCAUGUGCUCACAAAAACACUCACAUCCUUGACCAAUGUUCUGGCAAGUUUUGCUUAUUCCUUCUGAUUUCAACAAAAUGUCACCAGGACCAAAUUCUCGGCAACUCCGUCUGGCGCCUCAGCCUGGGCUUCUACUGCAGGAGCCAGGCAACGUGCUGCAAAGUGCAGACCCAGAUUCUUUCACAGUGAUUUUUCAAAGACUGGAUCUUUGUUUUGCAGCAGUGAUAACAGAUCUAACAUUAUCAUCUCUGAAACAGAAUAUUUUUUCCACACAUCACUUCUUCAAGUCCAAAUAUUCCCAUUGGUUUCCAGAUUAUGCUUGAAUUUUUCCUCAGUUUCUUUGGGCAUCAACAAGAAAAACAGACUCUCCAGACUAGGUUACAACACAGAUGUUGUCUGACUUGAUUCAAAGUUUAGUGUUGACGGUACCUAGCGACACUUAGCAACUGAGCUACAAUUCUGGCCAGUCUCUGCACUGUGGUCUUACUCAACAAAUGGUAAUUCUGUUGAAACUGGGUCAGAGUGAGCUGUGUGCUAUAGCCCUCUGUGUGACUUGCCUUUUUUUUAAAGCACAGGGGAUUCUCAUCUCUGGGCCCAGUCAAGGCAUAUUCCCUCCAGGACCUGCUGAAAAGACAGCGGCCAAAGAGUCACACGUAGGCCAAAAGCACAACACAACUUUUAAACACACUGCAGCACCUUGGAAAGUCAAAAGGUGAACUUGGUACUCACCUCAUAAUUUCUUUUUUCUUGUUACCCGUCUGCUUGGUGUUUCACACUUUUACCUGCAUAUUCUGUAAAUAUUUUUUUUCAUUUCCCAAUCUAUCUACACAGUAACAUUUUUAAACAGUCUGAUGUCACAAUUUGAAAAGAUUUUUGAAUGCCUUAAAUUAUUUCAAAUCUCUAGUCACCUCUUAAAUUCAAGUCUGAAUGGCUCAAAACUAGAUCUACUGUUGGGAAGUGUGUGCUAAACGUGAUCUUAACUUUAACUAUAUGGUUGCCUGACCAAUAUUGCAGCAUAUCAAGAAGCUAUAGCAAGGACUAGAUUUCAGAGAGGCCAGCAUUCUGAGCUGGAAAUUCCUUGGGCAAUUAGGAUGGAAAUAGGCAAAAAAAAAAAAAAAAAAAAAAAAAAAAAAAGGCUGAGGAAAGGGAUGGAGUAAGUUUCAUUUCUCUUCUCAAGUGUCAAACAUGCUGUUCUCCACUGCAGAUAAAUACAUAUCUCUUUGUAGAAAGAUCAGCUAUAAUUUCUCCCCAGGAUCUGGAGGCGCUUAUAAAGACAGCAGGGAGCUCACCAGCUUUUAAUUCACUCUUUCAGUAUCAGAUUGGAGGGACCCACAUCCAAGCCCUCUCUUUGCCUAAGCGCAAGCACUAGAGAGUAACGAUUCUGACAAUGCUUUCUCCUUUAACAAAGAAAAUCAACUGGAAAAAGAAAACUCAAGAGUAAGCAUGCUUCCAUUUUCUAAGGCCAAAGUUGCUAGCUCUGUCUCAUGGGUCAUUUGUUGGCUUGUAAAACUAUUUUAUGAUUUUUGUGGCAAAAAGUAAGGUUAAAAAGAAGGGGAAAAUACAAGCUCCAAAUUAAUGUUCCUUGGAUUUUCCUUGGACAGUCCAGUCAGACUUUAAUGAAUAUAGAGAGAGAGCAAACAUUGACUGCAGCGAAGACUACCAUGAACAACUUUUCUCAUUCAGAUACAUCAUAAACAUUGGAUCUAUGUAAAGUGCCCAGUCCUUAAUCUACCAAAUAUUUAAUUAUUCAUGUGAAAGAGUAACCAUUUCAAUAGGAGUGGUUCAGCAAGCUCCAAGCUAAUGGCCACGAAUGGCCUUAUACCUGAGUUAUUCCAGACAAGGUAGGAGCUCAAAACCCCUCUAAGCAAAUAUUCAAACCACCAUUAAAGGGCUGGUUUUCUGCAAAGUCUCUCUGGGUGGUGUCCCUACUCAGACAUUAUCAAUAUGUCUCAGCAUCUUCCGAAUCAGGUCUGCCUGGUGCACUCUUGGAGGUAGAACAAAAUUACCCACCCCAGACCACAGUCUUCUGCCCAGGUCAGGCUACACUGAGAUUAAGUACUUUAGAGCAGUGUCAUGAUCAUCCUUCACUUUGUCUUGUGGGUUCCUCCUCUUCCUUGUACAGUAGUAGGAGAUGCACCAGGUGGACAAAGCUGAGACUGAAACUUGCUUGAAAACAACUCACACUAUGCUAGCCGUUAUGUGACUUUGCAGACCAUAACAUGAUCCUCAGGUCUGGUCUUAAGGUUUCCUUUUUUGUUCAAAGCCAUAUAAGGAAAAAAACAUAUCCUUCGCUCCCUGUGAUAUAUCAGCACCAGCAAGCAGCAAAGAGGGCAUAGAUAAAUACUAUACAGUUAGUUUGUGGGGCUGCUUAGGUUUGGGAAAAGCUGCUGUCACUACUGUGCAGGCAUUCACCUUGCAGCACAUCUUCUGCUGUUUAGAGAUCAUAACAGAACCACUAAAAAUAAUACAUAGGCUUCAGAACAAAAAGCAGUGCUUGAAACACAGUUUCAUAGGUUCUGCAGUAUAUUUUACAAAAAUUCUUUACAAAAUUAUGUUUUACCACUGAAGCACCAUCUUCUUCCAAAUUUCUGCUCAGGUCUGGGAGCAGGGAUAAGGGUUUACAUCUCCGUUAAUAUCCCAAACAUGGCAGCUCUAUGCCUGAGAGAACUGAAAAGGUGUAAACAGAAAUGCAAGAUUUUUAUUAAAAUAGUAGAGGUAGUAGAAAUCAAGUAAAGAAAGAGAGAUUGGAAGAGUGAAGAGUGGAAAGAAAGGUUGCAGGAGCAGAGAAGCGGGGAGAAUAUUUUAGAGGCAGAAGGGACGAUAGCUUCUUUCACGCAUCUGUCUAGAAAGUGAUGAGCAGAUGGAAGGUUUACAACAUGUGGCAUUUAAAGAGAAAGUCAAUGUUUAACAGGAGUUCUUCUGUCUUUUAGAAUAUUGAUUUUUGAAAAUAAACACCCUUUAAAGAGCAAUCACACAUGAAAAAAACUCAAAAGCAAGAUAGCUGAGGUUCUGGGUUUUAGCAUACUAAGCAGCUGUCUCAAAUGAGAUUGCCAGCUGCCACAAGUGCAGAUAUAUACCUUAAAGAGGUAGAAAUUGAGGAAUAGUUGUCCUCAGUUGUUCAGGUCAUAUGACUUUCAUAAUUUAACCUUAAAAAUCUGCAAUUCCCAUGGGUCAUGGGAACAUUACAUGCAUAGGAAAAUCCAGUAUGAGGUUUACUUAUCAGGGCUACAGGCAGGAAGUGGUCUCUAAUAUUCUCUACUUAGGAUCUGAUGAAGCUGAAAUCAGCAGGACAUCCUAUAGUGAUGUUCAGACAAGAAGUGCACCAGCCACAAAAAACAUUCCAUGCCUCCUGCCCUAUCACACUGCAGGCAUGGAGCGCAUGCCACUUCUCUGUAGCACUUGUGUGCCUACAUUUCAUGCCUUUCUCCUGAGAGACAAAUUAAACAGAACUGCCAAAAGCUGUCAUCCAGGAAGAAGUGUGUGUAGGGUGCUUCAUAGCUCAUCUGUGCUUACAACAGUUCUCUAGGCUGCAAUGGUUGCUCUCUUAAUAGUGUGAAUGAACAUACAUGUAAGUAUUUCUCAGAUCAAGGCACAGAAGAAACACAGUACAGUUUUUUACACAGUACUAUUUUUACAGGAAAAUACAUGUUUUUAUAUUUUUCAGAUGUUACUGAUUUCAUAAUACAGAGGAACAGUUUAGAAAAAGUUUCAGUCCUCUGCAGAAUAUAAUGGUGAAUUUGAUCUCUGAAAUUUCCAAACGAUGCACCAAAUACUUAUUCAAGCCUGUUAAAUGUUGGGACUAUGACCAGAGUUGGUACUCUUUUCCCAAAAAAAGAGGAUUUUGCUGCCAUCUUGGAAAUGAAUUCUAUGAUAUUUUCAAAAUAGUUUCAGCCCUCUUUUUUCCCACACUGAUAUUUAAACUGAGUGCUGUCUCUACACAUGAAGCCAGUGUGGCCUAAACCACCACACAUUAAUAAGCGGAUAAUAAGGAGUGAUAUCUCAGAAACACUUUCCCUUUCAGAGGGGAAAUUUCUUCUUUUGCUCCUUUCCUUAAUCUGAAGGAUAUGCUUCUUAGAAAUUGAAAAAAAACCAUGUGUAUGGAAAAAUAAAACAGGAAACUUGGACACAACAGAAGGUCAUCUUUAAAAAACUCUUAAAUUCCAUGCUAUAGGAGGUCAACCAGUGUUAUUCACCCUUGUGUCUGGUUACAAACCUAAAGUUGGUUCAGAAAACUGUUAUAAACAUAUUUCAACAUGCGCUUGGAAGGAAAAUUAAAUGAAACCUGUGCCAUGCAGCCAAAACCAUAAAUUAAAUCCUAAACAUUCAUGCCCUAAAAGAGUCAACAACCUCAGUCCAGAUAAAGGCUAGUUUAUUUUAUACACUCUGAGAGUUACUCAGAUGUCCUAAAUUCCAUCUAAGCCCCUGAGCAUGGUGUUUCCUUUUGACUAAAUGUUUUUGAAAGCCUGAAGCUAGCCAAGAGAAAACACCAAGCACAAAGACUCGCGGAAUUCUGGCUGCAUUAAUAAGCCCUAAACGAUAAAGGUCUUUUCCCUGCCAAAAUUCUUCCCCUGAGUAAAGCUACCUUACCCAAAGCCACUGCCAAGAGGUUCAAUAUCUCCGAGUGGAAAGGAAUUAUUAAAAAAUAGGAGGACUGACAGUCAUCCCACAAGGUCUCAGGCUUUCCUUACAAAUAAAGGAAACAAAUCCUUGCCGAGUACAGUGUACAAAAGCCAGCAGUGUAUAGUUCAGCGGAGCAAGGAGUACUGUUUAUUCACAAGUUGCGAGUACAUAUCCCCAAAAGAACUGCAUGAUGAGGAGUAUAUGAACUUGAGUCAGCUGAACUGUUUCUUUCUACUUAGCAACUUGUGUUCUAUGUAAUUUCUUGAAUUUUAAAAUCUUUCUUUGAAAAGUGACGUGGAACUAACAGAGUAGCUGCAGAACACUGCUGCUAUGUACCUGGUUCAUUGCACAGGCCACUGUAGAAAGCAUGUGAUGAGAAACAGACCCUCUAUCUCUAAAACAUAAGAAAAGAAAAAUAAAAAAGCCAGAAUCACUCGGUGAUAACUACGGAUAGUUUAGCACUACGAGCCAUUUCUGAAGAUCAUUUGAGCAAGCUACAAAAACUCAGCACUGCAGCCAAAGAAGCUAUCUGCAGAAUGCUGGGCAAAGAAUUUCUUUCUGAUUUCUUUCAGUGUUCCUCAGCAGCUGGCCACAUACAGGGCAGCUUACUCUGAAGCUGAUUUCCUUCUAUGCACGUAUUUAGAGAACUCGAUUCGCUAAAUACAGAUGUUUGACAUUUUUUAUUGCAACGUAUCAUCUAGUUUUAUAGUAUUAAAAACAAUGCUAAAAUCUCCUCAUUAAUUUCACUACGUGUUCUACUCUCCCCCUCCUCCUCUCCUAAUGGCCUGGAGCUAUGAACAGGCUGUUGUUCGACACUACAGGGUAUGAAUGGCCAGUUAGUAUUCAAAGCUAGUGCAGACACUGGUUGUUUGGCACCCCUGAAUUUAUGCCCAUCUGUCAACGUGGUUUUGUUCCCACUCAAACAGUCAUACGUCAGUUGCAAGAGUACUGGCACCAGGUGUAAGUCUAGAGUAGACACUGCUAGAUUGUAAAGAAAAGUUUUGCUUUGCAAGAAGCUUCUAUGAUAGCAAGUAAUCAAAACAUAUGGAGAUUACAGACUCAGAUUUGUUGACAUUUUGAGGCAUAAUGGCACAAACAAAUGCUUUUAUCCUUAAAAUGUUUCAUUUGUUGAGAAUUUACAUUUGAAAAGCCUAAUUAAAGGACAAUAUCGUCCCCAACAGAAAAUAAGCAACCUCUACAAACUCAGUGGAUAUCCUUUUGAAGUGAGCUGGAAAAUGUACCCUUACAUAAGACUUCAUUUUGUUAGUGGAAGGCUGGUGUUUCUUCCUCCUUUAAAUGAGCUAGAAGCAUUCAAAUAGGCAGAGGCUAAGGAAAGCUGUCCUGUGGGGAAAAAAAAAAAAAAAAAAAAAACGAAAAAGCAAGUUUUGCUUUUGGGGAUCAACAUUUUCUUUAUUCUGAACACAUUUCCUAUUCAGUAGCAAAAAGAAGGCUUACUCCUUUAACAAUAAGCAAUUUGAAACUUUUCUAAAAAUGUGAAUCACAUUUAGAGAUUAGGGACAUGAACACGUGUUUGUUAGGUACUCAGCGCAUUUGAAAGAUUGUCUAAGAGAUUCAGACUAAUAAGAAGCAUCCAAGUCUGAACUCUAACAGAAGUCUUAUUUCUGUCCCUCUCCAGUUAUUCAAGUAAGUAAACCUUCUCACUGCAUCCCACUACCAGGGGACUAGGGCUCUCUAAUGAGAAAAGGGUUGUCCCUUGAAUAUCCUGAGACACAAUGAAGGAGAAACUGAAGGCCAAUGGGACUUAGUUGAACUGUACAGAAAAAUGACAGAAAGAGAUAAAAAUUGGAAAGGUUGAAUGUAGCACACUCCAGUCAUGCCUUGGGUACACUGAAAGGAAAAGGUACACUGUUGUGUCAAAAGGACACAGGAAUUCAAAACAUACCUGACAGUUUGGCUCCACUAUUUGGAUCUCUCAUGAUCAGUGUAGCCCUGACUUAUGAAGUUGGUAUCUCCCACCAUUCCUUUAUGUCCAGUGGACCUUAAGAAGCAAUCAUUUAGGCAGUUGGUCUCACAGAAUUGAUUUAAUCUUUCUCCCCAUCUGUACUUUCUGAAACCUCCAGUUUUCUCACUCUAUCUAUUACAGUUAAUGGUAUUGAAAAUGUCAUUGGUAGCAAUGGAACAAAGAGAGCCUGGACCUCUUCACCUGAGAUCCCUCAAGGACAAUCUGUCUCUGCUUGUGCACGUUACUUGGACUUUGGGGAUGUGUGCUGCAAUAAACAGAUGUAGGACUCUUUUCCAGUAAAUUUUCAGAAAGACAAAGGGAGUAUUGGAGGAAUGCCCUCUUUGACAGCAGGGUGAUAAUAUGAGUAAGUGAAAGCAUCACUUUGGUAUUAGCUUAUACUCUCAAGCAGCAGGAUCUGGAUAGAAAACAUCACAUUUGCAAGAGAGUUUUGUUCAUGAAUAGGUACCAGGCAUAAAGGGAGACCCAAUAAAACUCAGUGCUAAAUGUGUAGGGAAAAUAUAAUGAGGAAACAUCUUUCUCCCCACAUCAAGGUAACUUGUAAGCUAACAAGUCAGAAACAGAUGUUUGGUAUCUCACUUUCAGAAUGAGCAGCUCCCUAAAACGAUUGCUGAGUUUUGUCAUCUUUAGUGUUCUGCUCAAAGCCAACCAUUUAGAGACAGAAAUAGUUAUGACAGUCGUAUGCAGGCUGGAGCUCCCAGCUAUGUUCUCUUGCCAGCAAUUAAAACACUAUGCUUUAUAUCCUUGUGACAAAAAGAAAUACAAAUCUUUUCUUGGCAUCUAUGUAGUUGCUAUUUUCAGACUUUUACAAGGGUUUUUGUACUGCUUAAGAAAACAGGAAAUGGAAAAAAUUCAAAUAGAAGUGUCAGGGUAAUCCCAUAACAUACCCCUUUCAUUCACAUGAUGCUCAGUUGCUGAGGGUCACCAAACUCAGUUAUGUUAACACAAAUUGAAGUCAUAUUGAGGUGCAAUUCCCAACUGUAGCUCACACAUUAAGAUGCCUUAACAAAAAUGUAGGCAGACCACGCUGGUGUUUGUUGAAAAGAGAAAGCAAGAGGGGGGGGGAGGGGAGGCAGAGAAUGUAAUUCCUUCACAGUAAGUGGAAGCAUUUCAGGAUGAAAUAGUACUAGCAGUACAUAUUAAAUUUCAUAACAGGAGUUCUCAGCUCAAAUAUCCUCUUUAGUCUUUGAUUUCAUAGCUGAGACUGGCAGAGCAAAACCACUAUGAGACCAGAUAAAUAUAAAAGUUUAACUUAUUUUAAAUUGGUUUUCCCUCUAGCAUUCAGCUCCAGACUCCCUGGAUUCCUUAAGUUCAGACACAUUCCUGUAUAUCUCACUUCAUGCAUCAGGGAAGCCACUUCUACCUUCUACAUUGCCAUAUCACCAUUUUUCAAAACUGCCUUGCAACUUGAGUUCUGUUAUCUUUUGGCCUCCUCCUCCAAAAUAAUAAUAAAUAAAAAAAAGUCCUCCUGAGUUUUCAGAGAAGGUUAAAAAAAAGAAAAAGUCAACUCCGUCUACUUUGCUCAUCAAUUAUCUCUAACAAGCUGGCAGACAAUUCUCAGCUUUAUCAUAAAACGUUCAGAGAGAGGUUCAAGGCUAGACAGACCUUUUGUCUUUUAUUGACCAUAUCCCCCUUUGAGAAUCCUCAGGUGCAAAUGCCAGAUGCUUUCCAGCUUUCUUUCCAACACAG